rnacentral:tRNA from 1 species
GCCUGGGUGGCUCAGUUGGUUAAGCAUCUGACUUUGGGGCAGAUCAUGAUCUCGAGGUUUGUGGGUUGGAGUCCCACGUCAGGCU